rnacentral:rRNA from 1 species
UACGUAGGGUGCAAGCGUUGUCCGGAAUUAUUGGGCGUAAAGAGCUCGUAGGCGGUUUGUCGCGUCUGCUGUGAAAUCCCGAGGCUCAACCUCGGGCUUGCAGUGGGUACGGGCAGACUAGAGUGCGGUAGGGGAGAUUGGAAUUCCUGGUGUAGCGGUGGAAUGCGCAGAUAUCAGGAGGAACACCGAUGGCGAAGGCAGAUCUCUGGGCCGUAACUGACGCUCAGGCACGAAAGCUAGGGGAGCGAACAGG